GACGAACGCUGGCGGCGUGCUUAACACAUGCAAGUCGAACGGAAAGGCCCUUCGGGGUACUCGAGUGGCGAACGGGUGAGUAACACGUGGGUGAUCUGCCCUGCACUUCGGGAUAAGCCUGGGAAACUGGGUCUAAUACCGGAUAGGACCACGGUCUGCAUGGAUUGUGGUGGAAAGCUUUUGCGGUGUGGGAUGGGCCCGCGGCCUAUCAGCUUGUUGGUGGGGUGAUGGCCUACCAAGGCGACGACGGGUAGCCGGCCUGAGAGGGUGACCGGCCACACUGGGACUGAGAUACGGCCCAGACUCCUACGGGAGGCAGCAGUGGGGAAUAUUGCACAAUGGGCGCAAGCCUGAUGCAGCGACGCCGCGUGGGGGAUGACGGCCUUCGGGUUGUAAACCUCUUUCAGUAGGGACGAAGCGCAAGUGACGGUACCUAUAGAAGAAGCACCGGCCAACUACGUGCCAGCAGCCGCGGUAAUACGUAGGGUGCGAGCGUUGUCCGGAAUUACUGGGCGUAAAGAGCUCGUAGGUGGUUUGUCGCGUUGUUCGUGAAAACUCACAGCUUAACUGUGGGCGUGCGGGCGAUACGGGCAGACUAGAGUACUGCAGGGGAGACUGGAAUUCCUGGUGUAGCGGUGGAAUGCGCAGAUAUCAGGAGGAACACCGGUGGCGAAGGCGGGUCUCUGGGCAGUAACUGACGCUGAGGAGCGAAAGCGUGGGGAGCGAACAGGAUUAGAUACCCUGGUAGUCCACGCCGUAAACGGUGGGUACUAGGUGUGGGUUUCCUUCCUUGGGAUCCGUGCCGUAGCUAACGCAUUAAGUACCCCGCCUGGGGAGUACGGCCGCAAGGCUAAAACUCAAAGGAAUUGACGGGGGCCCGCACAAGCGGCGGAGCAUGUGGAUUAAUUCGAUGCAACGCGAAGAACCUUACCUGGGUUUGACAUGCACAGGACGCCGGCAGAGAUGUCGGUUCCCUUGUGGCCUGUGUGCAGGUGGUGCAUGGCUGUCGUCAGCUCGUGUCGUGAGAUGUUGGGUUAAGUCCCGCAACGAGCGCAACCCUUGUCUCAUGUUGCCAGCACGUUAUGGUGGGGACUCGUGAGAGACUGCCGGGGUCAACUCGGAGGAAGGUGGGGAUGACGUCAAGUCAUCAUGCCCCUUAUGUCCAGGGCUUCACACAUGCUACAAUGGCCGGUACAAAGGGCUGCGAUGCCGUAAGGUGGAGCGAAUCCUUGAAAGCCGGUCUCAGUUCGGAUCGGGGUCUGCAACUCGACCCCGUGAAGUCGGAGUCGCUAGUAAUCGCAGAUCAGCAACGCUGCGGUGAAUACGUUCCCGGGCCUUGUACACACCGCCCGUCACGUCAUGAAAGUCGGUAACACCCGAAGCCGGUGGCCUAACCCCUUGUGGGAGGGAGCUGUCGAAGGUGGGAUCGGCGAUUGGGACG
rnacentral:rRNA from 1 species